rnacentral:rRNA from 1 species
AACGCUGAAGAGAGGAGCUUGCUCUUCUUGGAUGAGUUGCGAACGGGUGAGUAACGCGUAGGUAACCUGCCUGGUAGCGGGGGAUAACUAUUGGAAACGAUAGCUAAUACCGCAUAAAAUUGAUUAUUGCAUGAUAAUUAAUUGAAAGAUGCAAUUGCAUCACUACCAGAUGGACCUGCGUUGUAUUAGCUAGUUGGUGAGGUAACGGCUCACCAAGGCGACGAUACAUAGCCGACCUGAGAGGGUGAUCGGCCACACUGGGACUGAGACACGGCCCAGACUCCUACGGGAGGCAGCAGUAGGGAAUCUUCGGCAAUGGGGGGAACCCUGACCGAGCAACGCCGCGUGAGUGAAGAAGGUUUUCGGAUCGUAAAGCUCUGUUGUAAGAGAAGAACGGGUGUGAGAGUGGAAAGUUCACACUGUGACGGUAUCUUACCAGAAAGGGACGGCUAACUACGUGCCAGCAGCCGCGGUAAUACGUAGGUCCCGAGCGUUGUCCGGAUUUAUUGGGCGUAAAGCGAGCGCAGGCGGUUAGAUAAGUCUGAAGUUAAAGGCUGUGGCUUAACCAUAGUAUGCUUUGGAAACUGUUUAACUUGAGUGCAGAAGGGGAGAGUGGAAUUCCAUGUGUAGCGGUGAAAUGCGUAGAUAUAUGGAGGAACACCGGUGGCGAAAGCGGCUCUCUGGUCUGUAAC